CUUUUUUCAAGUUAGAUCAGUACUUUAAUCCGGGUGAAAGAAUUUCAAUAAAAUUUUUAAUUUUAUUUCACUUUCAUUUCAGACAGACAGGCCUAACCAAUUGCAUCAGAAAGAAUGGAAACUUUUACAAGGAAAUAGAUCCUACUCUACCAUCACCAAAAAAAAAAUCAAUGCGGCUCAUGACUGAGUAGGAUUUUUUCAUGAUCCAACACAGUGGAAGCUAUCCUUGAACUCAACCGUGUCUUUGAACUGCAGAUGUGAGUCGAUUAUCUGGAAUAAUUCUGGAGGCUGAGGUAUUCUUCCUGUUUCUAAUUUUGACCAUACCGGAAUAUCUAAAAAGAGAAAAAUAAAAAUAAAAAAUAAAAUGGCAGGAGCAAGAGGAAAAAAUUUGACUGACCGCAAAAUAGUGGUAACAUUGAAGAAGCAUCGUUUCUAUACAGCUGAAAAUCAUGUCAAAAUAGGUUUCUGUUGUUUGAACACCAAUUUAAUGUGGGCCAUAGCAUUGUUUUCCCCUGAAAGCAUCUGUUGGGAGGCCGCAGUACAGCUACGGCAUUAUGAAAUGAGGAAAUUAUAAGGACUUUGAGAGCAGACUCAUAAUUGAGAAUUUCAGUUGUUUUACAUAAAUUUGGCUUAUGAAAAUUGAUUCAAAAACUAAUCCUCACUGCUCUCUUGUUAAAGCCAAUUUUUCCCGAUGAACUUGUUACACUGGACGAUCUCUGUUGAUGAUUGACAGAGAUUUAAUAGGAAAAGAAUAUAUUAUGCCAUCCAAAAUACUGAAAACA